rnacentral:rRNA from 2 species
GCGAAUUCGCCCUUUUCCGGUUGAUCCUGCCGGACCCGACUGCUAUCGGAUUGAGAUUUAGCCAUGCGAGUUGAACGUCCCCCUGUUGCGGGGGGCGUAGCGUACGGCUCAGUAACACGUAGUCAACCUGCCCUGGAGACGUGGACAACCCCGGGAAACUGGGAUUAAUUCCAUGAUAGGUCAUCUCAUCUGGAAGGAGAGAUGGCUUAAAGGGGUACGAGAGCUUCUUUUUCGUAUCUGCUCCAGGAUGGGACUGCGACCGAUCAGGCUGUUGGCGGGGUAAUGGCCCACCAAACCUGUAACCGGUACGGGCCUUGAGAGAGGGGGCCCGGAGAUGGACACUGAGAGAAGGGUCCAGGUCCUACGGGGCGCAGCAGGCGCGAAACCUUCGCAAUGCGCGAAAGCGUGACGAGGUUAAUCCGAGUGGUCCCCGCUGAGGGGAUCUUUUGCCGGCUGUAAAUAGGCCGGUGAAUAAGGGGAGGGCAAGUCUGGUGUCAGCCGCCGCGGUAAUACCAGCUCCUCGAGUGGUCGGGGCGAUUAUUGGGCCUAAAGCAUCCGUAGCCCGUUCUGUAGGUCUUCUGUUAAAUCCAGCGGCUUAACCGAUGGCAGGCAGGGGAUACCGCAGGACUAGGAGGCGGGAGAGGCGGGCGGUACUCCACGUGUAGGGGUGAAAUCCUUUGAUCCGUGGAAGACCACCAGUGGCGAAGGCGGCCCACCAGAACGCGCUCGACGGUGAGGGAUGAAAGCUGGGGGAGCGAACCGGAUUAGAUACCCGGGUAGUCCCAGCCGUAAACGAUGCGAGCUAGAUGAUCCGGUCGCAAAUCGCGACCGGAGUGUCGCAGGGAAGCCGUUAAGCUCGCCGCCUGGGGAGUACGGUCGCAAGACUGAAACUUAAAGGAAUUGGCGGGGGAGCACCACAAGGGGUGAAGCCUGCGGUUCAAUUGGAGUCAACGCCAGGAAACUUACCAGGAGAGACAGCAGGUUGAGGGUCAAGCUGAAGACUUUACCUGACGAGCUGAGAGGAGGUGCAUGGCCGUCGCCAGCUCGUGCCGUGAGGCGUCCUGUUAAGUCAGGCAACGAGCGAGACCCAAAGGGCGA